CCGAUCCGGAGAUCGUCUCCAAAAUUCUCGCCGGACUGGACAUGGAAUAUAAUCCUGUCGUCUCGGCGCUUUCUGCUCGGGUGGAACCGGUCACGGUUCAGGAGCUCUACAGCCAGCUCCUGAGCUUUGAUG
rnacentral:snoRNA from 1 species